rnacentral:tRNA from 1 species
GGGUGAUUAGCUCAGCUGGGAGAGCACCUCCCUUACAAGGAGGGGGUCGGCGGUUCAUUUUCCUGUCGUUCAUUACCCA